rnacentral:lncRNA from 1 species
UCCACAGACAGCCCCCCUGAAUGUUGUUAGGCAGCGACCACAUGGGUACAAAUAAACUUUUGUCAGUGUAGCCCUGUUGGUUUACAGCAACUUCCAGUUUUUGGCUUUUCUUCUCAAACCUUCAAUUAAACACAAGAAAUCUAUACCUCAAAUAAAAAGUUCUCCACCCACCCGUUUGCUGCCGGUACAGAUGAUGAGCACUUACAUGCGAAGGGACGCCCUCACGGCACCGCCAGCACUCCGGGACGGCUCAUCCCGACCCUCCUGGCAGUCAGAGCAGGUCAUUCCCCGUUUCCCCGAGCCCUGAGGGGUGGCACAGGUGAGCCCUGGCCGGGGGGAUGCCCUCACAGAGCUGCACACCCAACCAGGCCACCCACAGCCGGGCCCAGGCCGCCGGAAAGGCCUCGGCGCUCUGCUGCAGCAGCCACAUUUGGGCUCUUUUAAAGCCGUGCUUGGAGGAUGUGAAACACAUGCUGGACUGUCAGCCAAGCCCCACGUUGUAUUUAAAUCAACAGGACUCGCGGCUGCCUGGUCACAACGGGGCGGUGAAGGCCCAAGGACGGAGCGGCCACUUUGACACCUUCCUGCAGUCAUGGCUGAAAGCUGCGCGCUCCAUUCCAAAGACUAUUUUCUGAAGAGUCACCACUGGAUAAAGGGUACAAAUCAUCUUGUUCUAUAGAGCUUCCAGGUCAAGGAGAGACAAGGCCAUGUAAAUGUAAGUGAUUCUUAAUGAGUCCUUUACCCAUAGCUUUAUUAAGGCACAAAUAACCAUAAAAUGACUCAUUCUAUUGAUUUUGAAUCCAGCACAAGACUUGAGUUAUUUCUAAAUUCUGAAGAAUAGUGGUGGGAAGAAAGAACAUUUUCAACCAGGGCAGCAAUUAUUACGAUUAUACAUGAUUUUAUUCAAGAGUCAUGGUCAAGUAAUCAGUAAAUACAUAGGAACAAUUGCCUGUGACCUGGGAAUGCUUCUGCCACUGCCUGAACCAUGACAGGAGGGAGGACACACACACUACCCUUCCUUCUGCCCAAAAAACUCUGCCAGCAUGUCACCUGAGCCAUGGGAGUGCAAUUCUCCCAUGCCAGCAGAUCAUACUGCAGCAAAUUUGCAACCACCAGAUCAGAAAUUGCUCCUGCAGGUCAGGUAAAUGGCUGCCUGUCUGGCCUCUAAGUGGGACUGCACUGGCUGUUUGAGAGAGGUGGAAAAGCCCAUGCAUUAUGCAUCUGUGGAAAGACUUGCAUAUGAGGAAAAUGUUUUUACAAACCUCACCAGUUAGAAACUGCCUUUGCUAGACAGAUAGAGUCUUACUUGACUUCUAAAAUCCAGGUAUUAUUUUACAACCUUAUCUCUUUUUACAUACACCUGUUUCUGGCUGGGUGGGUAUUUGAUAAUUUGCUGUGAAGUCAGUCUUCCUUUAAGAAUCCCUAAGCCAUGAUCAUGGACACCUUUUUCAUCAAGGAAAACUCCCCAGUUGUAAUGCAGCAUUGCUUGUCUUUUCAUUCUUACAUUGUCUUUCGAAUAAACAUACACAUACAACCUCGGUGUGGUCACUAUUUAUGAGCUCUUUUUACUGACUUAAUAUCUGAUUCUGUUUCUAUUCUAAGUCUCUUAUUUUAUGAAAAAUCUUGUGACAAGUUUUGUAGGCUAUGUGAUUUCUGAACAUUUCCUAAAAACAUAAAUCACUUUAUUUUUCCUUCACUUCUGAUUUCGCACUGCAUCAUGUUUUUUUUCUUUGAUUCUUCUUCCAUUUAAAAAUACCUACAGCACAACUAAGGAAAUCUACAGAAAUAAUGCAAUAUAUAUAUAUAUAUAUAUACUGCUAAUGGACCUACUUACAUCUGUGAUCUGUUGUUUGAAAUACAUGCAUAAUAUAUAUGAUACCAAAAGUUGUUAUUCAUGCUGCUGCUUUUUCCUCCCUUAAAAUGCAUUCUAAUUAUUACAGCAAAAUUGAAUUUGCCAGUGCAUACAUUAAGGUUAACCAUGCAGUCAGUAAGGAAUCAAGCACUAAGAAUCAGUUGUGUAACCAAGAAGGAAAUACAUAUUCAAAAUCAUGAACACUAUUAUAAAUAAGUUAAUUUCUGCUUUAAGAUUGAAUAACUCCAAAAAUACUAAGCUGCUUUCCAUGCU